rnacentral:rRNA from 1 species
UGGGGAAUAUUGCACAAUGGGGGGAACCCUGAUGCAGCGACGCCGCGUGAGUGAAGAAGUAAUUCGUUACGUAAAGCUCUAUCAGCAGGGAAGAAAGGUGGGUCUUGCCCACCUGGACGGUACCUGACUAAGAAGCCCCGGCUAACUACGUGCCAGCAGCCGCGGUAAUACGUAGGGGGCAAGUGUUAUCCGGAUUUACUGGGUGUAAAGGGAGCGUAGACGGCAGAGCAAGUCCGGAGUGAAAGCCCGGGGCCCAACCCCGGGACUGCUCUGGAAACUGUUAAGCUGGAGUGCGGGAGGGGCAGGCGGAAUUCCUGGUGUAGCGGUGAAAUGCGUAGAUAUCAGGAGGAACACCGGCGGCGAAGGCGGCCUGCUGGACCGUGACUGACGUUGAGGCUCGAAAGCGUGGGGAGCAAACAGG